rnacentral:lncRNA from 1 species
GUAACCGGCAUUAUAAAAUGGUUUUAUUAAUUAUUAAUAACUAUUUAAUGUGUACACAGUUAUCCAUGAAGAAAUAGGAAAUACCAGUGAGUUGUUACCAGCGUUGCCCCAGGCUGGGAGAGCCCUUCCAGCUUUCCUUUGGCCUCUGACACCCCUGCCCCACUGACCGCCCACCCCCCAUUCCUGUCUGGAAGGCUCGCCUGCCAUCAUCCCGCACAUCCGACAGCUCUCCCUUCAGGGUCACCUCCUCCUUGGACAAAGCAUACGUGACCCCUUGUCAGGUUUCUUGGCUGGGUGCUCCCCCAGAGUUUGGCUCCUGCCCCCAACCAAGCAUGCAUGGUGACAAUGCACCCACUUGAUAACUGAUCACUGGUGUCACUUCCACCUCCCUCCCUCCAUGAGCGCAAACCUCCGGUUAAUACAGUUGGGUCAGCCCAGGGUCCUCGGUGUCCCCAGAGUCUGCCAUGCCUGGUGCUGGGCAGAUACUCAAUAAACACCCAAAAUCAGGCCGGGCUCAGUGGCUCACACCUGUGACCUCAGCACUUUGGGAAGCUGAGGCAGGGAGGAUGGCUUGAGCCUAGAAGUUCAAGACCAGCCUGGGCAACAUAGCAAGACCCCUGUCUCUACUUUUUUUUCUUUUUUUUUUUGAGACGGAAUCUCGCUCUGUCGCCCAGGCUGGAGUGCAGUGGCGUGAUCUCGCCUCACUGCAAGCUCCGCCUCCAGAUUCACGUCAUUCUCCUGCCUCAGCCCCUCGAGUAGCUGAGGUGGGAGAAUCGCUUGAACCUGGGAGGUGAAUGUUGUAGUGAGCUGAGAUCGCGCCACUGUACUCCAGUCUAGGCAACAGAGACUCUAUCUCAGAAAAGAAAAGAAAAAAAAUAAUUGGAAAUGGGUUGCUGAGGACAUGUGCCCCUGCUCCCUGCUGAGCUCCCAGUGUGCCCCUCCCCUCCUGAAUUGGUAGGAGAUUCUGCUCUCACCUCUGCAGGCGAUCACUGCUCACUGCAAUUCAGUCACUAGUGCCUGCACCUGACCCCAUUUUUGUUUGCCACCCCCGCAGCCAGCCCGUAUUUGUGAUCACGGCCCUGUGAUCAGAGUCUCAGGAAACACUUGUGCAUGGGGCAGAGCAAUCCUUGCUGCCUGCAAGGAAACCAGACAAGGCUGUGCUGAUGGAAAAUCGGCUGUAGUUACAUGGGCAAGAAUCAGAGUUCAAGUCUAGGAACCCCUGGUUUUUAGGCAGAGGACAUCAAGGCAGAGGAUGUCAAAGCUGAAGUGAGGCAUUACAAUCCCCCAUCAUGACAACCGGUGGGCCUUGUGAAAUUUAGCACAGGUCCUCCCGGCUCCAGUUGGCCACAGCCUGCCAUGGAAGCCCAAGUGCCUCUGGGCACUCCAAAUAUCACUGCAUCUGGGAAAGCAGCAGACAGCGUGGCCAUGCAGUGCAACAGGGUAGUGGGGAUGCCUGUCACAUCUCCGAUGCAGAGGCAGCCCCUGG